rnacentral:rRNA from 1 species
UACGAAGGGGGCUAGCGUUGUUCGGAAUUACUGGGCGUAAAGGGCGCGUAGGCGGUACUUCAAGUCAGGCGUGAAAGCCCCGGGCUCAACCUGGGAAUGGCGGUGGAAACUGGCGAGCUAGAGUGUGUCAGAGGGGGGUGGAAUUCCACGUGUAGCAGUGAAAUGCGUAGAGAUGUGGAGGAACACCAAUGGCGAAGGCAGCCCCCUGGGAUAACACUGACGCUCAGGCACGAAAGCGUGGGGAGCAAACAGG